rnacentral:rRNA from 1 species
CGAGUUGUAAUUUUGAGAACUGUUUUCUGUGCUGGACCAUAUACAAGUCUGUUGGAAAACAGCAUCAUUGAGGGUGAUAAUCCCGUAGAUGAUAUGGACUACCAGUGCAAUAUGAUACAGUCUCUAAGAGUCGAGUUGUUUGGGAAUGCAGCUCAAAGAGGGUGGUAAAUUCCAUCUAAGGCUAAAUAUAGGUGAGAGACCGAUAGCAAACAAGUACCGUGAGGGAAAGAUGAAAAGAACUUUGGAAAGAGAGUUAACAGUACGUGAAAUUGUUAAAAGGGAAACAUUUGAAGUUAGACUUGUUAUUAUUGGUUCAGCUUCUCUUUUUUAAUUAGGAGUUUAUUCCAAUGGUUGACAGACCAGCAUCAAUUUUUGAGUGUUAGAUAAGGGUCUUGGAGAAUGUGGCAACUUUGGUUGUGUUAUAGCUCCUGGCUUGAUAUAAUGCUUAAGAUUGAGGAAC